rnacentral:rRNA from 1 species
UACGGAGGGUGCAAGCGUUAUCCGGAAUUACUGGGCGUAAAGCGCGCGUAGGCGGACCUGCAAGUCGGGGGUGAAAGCCCGAGGCUCAACCUCGGAACUGCCUUCGAUACUGCGGGUCUCGAGUCCGGGAGAGGUGAGUGGAAUUCCUAGUGUAGAGGUGAAAUUCGUAGAUAUUAGGAAGAACACCAGUGGCGAAGGCGGCUCACUGGCCCGGUACUGACGCUGAGGCGCGAAAGCGUGGGGAGCAAACAGG